GUCUCUCCUUUCGCCAUCUACAUGAUCCUUGAUUAAACAUGGAACAGAGUUAUUAAAAAGGGGGGGUAAGGACUCAAGGAGAGGAAAUGCAACUGUCAGAAAUCGGGACCGCCAGAUUUCCUGGUGAACCUGCCUCUGUCUGAGAGGGUGUCUCGUCGAACGGUAGCUAAGAUCUCACCAGAACCGCGCGGAAGUGAGGAGUCGCGGCCAAAGGCGCUCGCUGGAGCCUCCUCUCUGGGCCGGACCCCAGCCCGAGCCGCGAAAGGAGCCCCCCGCCCGGAUCACAGCUGCUGCAGCUGCCGCUGAAAUUCGCUGUGGCCGCUGCCUCUUCCCGCUUUAAUCCCAGACCUCCAGUCAUUGGGCAGCUCCUCAGAGGCAAGAAGUCAACACCAUGGCAACCCGACAAGCCUAUCAAAUCACCGGCUGGCGUGACAGCAGCAACACGGCCGGCAGAAGUGGGCUGGGCGGAAGAGCAGAGUGGUCACUACGCUCAGGUACACAGUCUGGGAGUGGACAGCAACUGUCAGCCUCCACGUUCUGGCUACACAGAUGUGCACCACCCAGUUCAUACCCUUACCCUAUGUCCCCUAGUAGGUUUGGAGGAGGAGGAAGAGGAGGAGGACCAGGAGGAGGAGGACAAGCAGGAGGAGGAGAAGGGGAGAUAUAUAUAGGAGUGGAAGAGCUUCGGGAGAGAGUUUCAAGCUAAAAGUAAUAGAAGCCCUAGAUACUGUAAACUAAACACGCCUUGUGCCCCAGCAGCAGAGGAAACCAAGUCACAAUAGCCUCAGAACCAGAUUUAAAGGGUUUGCACAAAGGUGUGGGGUUUUUCUUCACCGGUUCUGUCACUUGCUUGAGCAAAAUUAAUGCAACGUUGUGUUCUGGAGUUUCAAAAGUAUAAAAGAAAAUGUUACAUUUUUAACUUUUACUGUCUGCCAGUGUCCGAGUCUGCAAAAAAUAUGGCUUGACAUCAAUGUCAUCUAUGCUAAUUGACUGCCUUGGAAAUGACCUAAACUUUACCUGAAACUGCCUUCGCCUUGUUCUUUCCUAAGAUGUGUGCUAUGUGUCAUGUGUGUUCUAGAUCUUCUCUAAAGAGAAGAAACCGAGGAGACUAGGAAAUCCGUGCAUUCCUUGUGGGCCUACUUGGUCUUUGUAUUUCCUAAUUUUCCUUGAACUCCCAAGUAGGCAAAUAGAAGAAGACAGGACUUUCACUAAUAAU